rnacentral:rRNA from 1 species
GAAGGUGGCAAGCGUUGUUCGGAUUUACUGGGCGUACAGGGUGCGUAGGCGGUUCGGUAAGCCCUCCGUGAAAUCUCCAGGCUUAACCUGGAAAGUGCAGAGGGGACUGCCGGGCUAGAGGACGGGAGAGGAGCGCGGAAUUCCCGGUGUAGCGGUGAAAUGCGUAGAGAUCGGGAGGAAGGCCGGUGGCGAAGGCGGCGCUCUGGAACGCUUCUGACGCUGAGGCACGAAAGCGUGGGGAGCAAACAGGAUUAGAUACCCUGGUAGUCCACGCCUUAAACGAUGGAUACUAAGUGUCGGCGGGUUACCGCCGGUGCCGCAGCUAACGCAGUAAGUAUCCCGCCUGGGAAGUACGGCCGCAAGGUUG